UCUGGAUACACGGCUUUACAGGAGGAAGUUCAAUGGCAUACAAAAGCAGCCAAAUUCUAAGAGGGGAGAAAAGAUGGUGGCUCUGCAAAUUUCACUAAGGUGCCAAUUGUAUGAAGACAGUCCAAAGCUCCUAAGGGACAUUUGACUAGUAUGACUCAGUGCCCUCUUGAUGCGCACUUUGGAUGUUCACAUGCUAGGCAUGACACUGUGCCACUGUGACCACCAGCAACAAAGCAGCUGAACUGACCUCAGAAGAAAGGCCAUGGGAU
rnacentral:lncRNA from 1 species